UACGUAGGGGGCAAGCGUUGUCCGGAAUCAUUGGGCGUAAAGAGCGUGUAGGCGGCUCGGUAAGUCCGCUGUGAAAGUCCAGGGCUCAACCCUGGAAUGCCGGUGGAAACUGUCGAGCUAGAGUCCGGAAGAGGCGAGUGGAAUUCCUGGUGUAGCGGUGAAAUGCGCAGAUAUCAGGAGGAACACCAAUGGCGAAGGCAGCUCGCUGGGACGGUACUGACGCUGAGACGCGAAAGCGUGGGGAGCAGACAGG
rnacentral:rRNA from 1 species